AUAGCGUGGUGAGGGUAUUUACGAAUAAGAUCUCUUAACCUUUCCUAUGUCUCAUGAAAAAGUUCACCAUCCAAUUGGAAAAAACUAGUGAUAGCUUUUUAAAUUU